rnacentral:rRNA from 1 species
GACGAACGCUGGCGGCGUGCCUAAUACAUGCAAGUCGAACGCAGUGGGGACGGGUGAGUAACAUGUGGGUAACCUCCCAUCAGAGGGGAUAACACUUGGAAACAGGUGCUAAACCGAUACUGAUGGAUGGACCCGCGGUGCAUUAGCUAGUUGGUGAGGUAACGGCUCACGAAGGCCACGAUGCAUAGCCGACCUGAGAGGGUGAUCGGACAGACUGGGAUGGAGACCCGGCCCAGACUCCUACGGGCGGCAGCAGUAGUGAAUGUUCGGCAAUUGAGGAAAGUCGGACCGAGCAACGCCGCGUGAGUGAAGAAGGUUUUCGGAUCGUAAAACUCUGUUGUUAGAGAAGCGGUAUCUAACCAGAAAGCCACGGCUAACUACGUGCCAGCAGCCGCGGUAAUUC